ACUGCUUCGCUCUCAGCUGCAGCGGUGGAAGAAGAAGAGCGGGAUGAUGUUUGAGCAGCACAGCCGCGGAUUUAACCGGGUGAGCAUCCCAGUCGUUGGCGGUGAGUCAAUGAUGGCGGUGACGUAACAAAACUGAAAAAAACUGGUAAGUGUUGACAUGAUUUAAAAUCAACUUGGAUUUAAGAAUCGCUAUGAUGACGUGAUUUCCUGCCAUUCGUAGUUUCCACCAGAGGUCGACAGACCAAAGACGGCCCAAACCUUCCUUGGAUGUCUGAGCGAAUCAGACGUGCUCUUCUGUUUUUGUUUUUUUGGACUUAAACGUCAAAAUUAACUUGUUGUUUGCCCUUCAGGCCCCGCGACCCUCCUGUGGAGGAUGAAGUGGUAGAAGAUGGAUGGUGACCUUCAGGGUGAAUCAUCUCUGGUCCCCCCAUGAAUGGCUCCUCAUCACACACUUGCUAUAAUUUCAGGGUGAAUGGUCUCUGCCCCAGUGGAUGACGCUUCACAACGCCUCUGCAUUUUUUUUCAGCUAUGUGCUAGCCGCGCAACCCUCCUGUGGUAGAAAAUGGAUGGUGACCUUCAGAGUGAAUCAUCCCCACCCCGUGAUUGGCGCCUCAUCACACACUUGCUAUAAUUUCAGGCCGCGCAACCCUCCUGUGGUAGAAAAUGGAUGGUGACCUUCAGAGUGAAUCAUCCCCACCCCGUGAUUGGCGCCUCAUCACACACUUGCUAUAAUUUCCGGUUGAUGUGCAGACGCACCAUUCCAGAGAACGACAACUUCUAAGCUGUGUCAACUUUUUUUUUUUUUCACAUAAUCACAUCAUCACAUAAUAAAAUUUAUAAAUUGUG